GAUGAACGCUGGCGGCGUGCCUAAUACAUGCAAGUCGAGCGAACAGACGAGGAGCUUGCUCCUCUGAUGUUAGCGGCGGACGGGUGAGUAACACGUGGAUAACCUACCUAUAAGACUGGGAUAACCUCGGGAAACCGGAGCUAAUACCGGAUAACAUGUUGAACCGCAUGGUUCAACAGUGAAAGACGGUCUUGCUGUCACUUAUAGAUGGAUCCGCGCCGCAUUAGCUAGUUGGUAAGGUAACGGCUUACCAAGGCAACGAUGCGUAGCCGACCUGAGAGGGUGAUCGGCCACACUGGAACUGAGACACGGUCCAGACUCCUACGGGAGGCAGCAGUAGGGAAUCUUCCGCAAUGGGCGAAAGCCUGACGGAGCAACGCCGCGUGAGUGAAGAAGGUCUUCGGAUCGUAAAACUCUGUUAUUAGGGAAGAACAAAUGUGUAAGUAACUAUGCACGUCUUGACGGUACCUAAUCAGAAAGCCACGGCUAACUACGUGCCAGCAGCCGCGGUAAUACGUAGGUGGCAAGCGUUAUCCGGAAUUAUUGGGCGUAAAGCGCGCGUAGGCGGUUUUUUAAGUCUGAUGUGAAAGCCCACGGCUCAACCGUGGAGGGUCAUUGGAAACUGGAAAACUUGAGUGCAGAAGAGGAAAGUGGAAUUCCAUGUGUAGCGGUGAAAUGCGCAGAGAUAUGGAGGAACACCAGUGGCGAAGGCGACUUUCUGGUCUGUAACUGACGCUGAUGUGCGAAAGCGUGGGGAUCAAACAGG
rnacentral:rRNA from 1 species